rnacentral:rRNA from 1 species
CUGCUUUUGUGGGGUGCUCGAGUGGCGAACGGGUGAGUAACACGUGAGUAACCUGCCCUUGACUUUGGGAUAACUUCAGGAAACUGGGGCUAAUACCGGAUAGGAGCUCCUGCUGCAUGGUGGGGGUUGGAAAGUUUCGGCGGUUGGGGAUGGACUCGCGGCUUAUCAGCUUGUUGGUGGGGUAGUGGCUUACCAAGGCUUUGACGGGUAGCCGGCCUGAGAGGGUGACCGGCCACAUUGGGACUGAGAUACGGCCCAGACUCCUACGGGAGGCAGCAGUGGGGAAUAUUGCACAAUGGGCGGAAGCCUGAUGCAGCAACGCCGCGUGCGGGAUGACGGCCUUCGGGUUGUAAACCGCUUUCGCCUGUGACGAAGCGUGAGUGACGGUAAUGGGUAAAGAAGCACCGGCUAACUACGUGCCAGCAGCCGCGGUGAUACGUAGGGUGCGAGCGUUGUCCGGAUUUAUUGGGCGUAAAGGGCUCGUAGGUGGUUGAUCGCGUCGGAAGUGUAAUCUUGGGGCUUAACCCUGAGCGUGCUUUCGAUACGGGUUGACUUGAGGAAGGUAGGGGAGAAUGGAAUUCCUGGUGGAGCGGUGGAAUGCGCAGUUAUCAGGAGGAACACCAGUGGCGAAGGCGGUUCUCUGGGCCUUUCCUGACGCUGAGGAGCGAAAGCGUGGGGAGCGAACAGGCUUAGAUACCCUGGUAGUCCACGCUGUAAACGGUGGGUACUAGGUGUGGGGUCCAUUCCACGGGUUCCGUGCCGUAGCUAACGCUUUA